GCAUUGGUGGUUUCGUGGUAGAAUUCUUGUCUUCCAUGCAGAAGACCGUGGUUCAAUUCUAAGCCAAUGCA
rnacentral:tRNA from 1 species